GAGUUUGAUCCUGGAUCACAGUGAACGCUGGCGGCGUGGAUUAGGCAUGCCAGUCGAGCGAUCCUUUUGUGAGUGAAGUGGAGGUGCUUGCACCAAAGCAGAUCUUGCGUUUGGGGAUAGCGGCAAACGGGUGAGUAACACGUGAACAAUUUUCCUUAAAGUCGAGCAUAGCACCGUGAAAACGGUGGUAAUUCUGGAUGUGGUCAUAAAAUCGCAUGGUUUUAUGAUUAAAGGCGGGGACCUUCGGGCCUGCCACUUUAGGAUGGGUUCGCGGCCUAUCAGCUUGUUGGUGGGGUAAUGGCCUACCAAGGCGUAUGACGGGUAGCUGGUCUGAGAGGAUGGUCAGCCACACUGGGACUGAGACACUGCCCAAACUCCUACGGGAGGCUGCAGUCGAGAAUCUUUAUCAAUGGACGAAAGUCUGACUAUGCGACGCCGCGUGCAGGAUGAAGGCCUUCGGGUUGUAAACUGCUUUUGUUAGGAAAGAAAACUGCGAAGUUAAUACCUUCGUAACUGACGGUACCUAACGAAUAAGCCACGGCCAACUACGUGCCAUCAUCCGCGGUAAUACGUAGGUGGCGAGCGUUACUCGGAAUUAUAGGGUGUAAAGGGCAAGUACGCGGUCUGUCAAGUGAGGGGUGAAAUCUUCCGGCUCAAUCGGAAAACUGCCUUUCACACUAUCAGACUUGAUGAUGGAAGAGGGAAAUGGAAUUAGCAGUGUAAGGGUGAAAUCUGUAGAUAUUGCUAAGAACACCUGCGGCGAAGGCGAUUUCCUGGUCCAUAUCUGACGCUAAAUUGCGAAAGCUAGGGGAGCAAACAGAAUUAAAUACUCUGGUAGUCCUAGCCGUAAACGAUGAGCACUAGGUGUUGUCCCUUCGGGGUCAGUGCCGCAGCUAACGCAUUAAGUGCUCCACCUGGGGACUACGGCCGCAAGGCUAAAACUCAAAGGAAUUGACGGGGACCCGCACAAGCGGUGGAACAUGUGGUUUAAUUCGAUGCUACGCGAAGAACCUCACCAAGGCUUGACAUGCUCGUCGUAUCUCUGUGAAAGCAGAGAGUCAGCUAGGCUGGACGAUGCACAGGUGCUGCAUGGCUGUCGUCAGCUCGUGUCGUGAGAUGUUGGGUUAAGUCCCGCAACGAGCGCAACCAUUGCCCUAUGUUGCUACUACACGUUUGAUCUUCGGAUCUGUUGUGUAAGCACUCUUGGGGGACUGCCUGGGAUAACCAGGAGGAAGGUGGAGACGACGUCAAGUCAGUUCGGCCCUUAUGCCUUGGUCUUCACACGUGUUGCAAUGGCAGGUACAGAGGGUUGCCAUCCCGCGAGGGGGAGCUAAUCUCAAAAAGCCUGCCUCAGUUCGGAUAGCAGUCUGCAAUUCGACUGCUUGAAGCCGGAAUCGCUAGUAAUGGGAGAUCAGCUCGCUCCCGUGAAUACGUUGUCCGGGUCUUGUACACACCGCCCGUCAAGCGAUGAAAGCCGGGAGUACCCGAAGUCCUAUGUAGAUAGGCCGAAGGUAAAAUCGGUGAUUGGCGUUAAGUCGUAACAAGGUAACC
rnacentral:rRNA from 1 species